rnacentral:rRNA from 1 species
GUCCACGCCUUAAACUAUGAAUACUAAGUGUCGGCGGGUUACCGCCGGUGCCGCAGCUAACGCAUUAAGUAUUCCGCCUGGGAAGUACGGCCGCAAGGUUGAAACUCAAAGGAAUUGACUGGGGCCCGCACAAGCGGUGGAGCAUGUGGUUUAAUUCGACGCAACGCGAAGAACCUUACCCAGGCUGGACAUGCAGGUAGUAGAAGGGUGAAAGCCUAACGAGGUAGCAAUACCAUCCUGCUCAGGUGCUGCAUGGCUGUCGU